ACCUGCCUUCUGCCCUUAGGCUCCGGUAGACUGCAAAUGACCUGCUUUCUUUCUGUUCCCGGGCUGCGUUUGGACCCCUGUCGGACAGUAAAUCCCAAGUAAGGUACCUGCCCUCGGCAGAUUUGAGCUUUCUUCUUGGACACCUAAUACCCACAGUCCUCCAGGCUGUAGAUGAAGGGGUUCAGCAUGGAGGUGAUCACCGUGUACAUCACUGAGGCCACUGCAGCCUUUCUCGGGGAAGAUGACACAUCUGAACUGAGGUACCCUCCAAAGCCUGUUCCGUAAAAUCAGCAAACAACUGACAGGAUAACUUCAGGAAGUGGGUAUUAAUUCUCACGGUAUAAGUGAAGACAUUAAGCACCAGAGUUUAAGUAGCUUGAUCCACUGAAAGAGAUUCAACUGUGUGGAACCUAUGCCGUGGAGAAUUGCUUUCUGCCAUUGUUAUCGUCCAGCAGUUGCCGAAUAGCUCUGACCUGAGCAAAGCAGUGAAACGCGGUGCUGUUGAGUGGGUUGCCACUGCACCUUUUUCAACUACUCUAGUCUUGUGGAGAAAAUACCCCUUCUAAAUUUUUUCUUCAUUGAAUACUCUCCCUCAGCUCCAGAGUACCAUAUAGAGUUUUCUUGUAUUUUAGAGUUACUGUUUUAUCAAAGUUUACCAGUCUUUUGUAUUACAUUUCUCCUGUCUAAAUCGACUGUGUGGUUUCUACUCAUUAUGGAUAUAGAUUGAUACAAACUCAAUAAAUAUUUUUGAAUGAAUAA
rnacentral:lncRNA from 1 species